UACGUAGGGGGCAAGCGUUGUCCGGAUUUAUUGGGCGUAAAGCGCUCGCAGGCGGUCCGAUGCGUCGGGCGUGAAAGACCCCGGCUCAACUGGGGAGGGUCGUGCGAUACGGUCGGACUCGAGGGCAGUAGGGGGACGCGGAAUUCCGGGUGUAGUGGUGGAAUGCGUAGAGAUCCGGAGGAACACCAGCGGCGAAGGCGGCGUCCUGGACUGGUACUGACGCUCAGGAGCGAAAGCGUGGGGAGCGAUCCGG
rnacentral:rRNA from 1 species